AGAGUUUGAUCCUGGCUCAGGACGAACGCUGGCGGCGUGCUUAACACAUGCAAGUGGGACGAAAUAUUAUGGAUGAAAUUUUUCGAAGUGGAUUUUAUAAUGUUUAGUCGCGGACGGGUGAGUAAUGCGUGAGAACCUGUCCUGAAGAGGGGUCCAGCCCAGGGAAACCUGGAUUAAUACCCCAUAAGCCUACGGGUGAAAGGAGUAAUCCGCUUCGGGAGGGGCUCGCGUCCUAUCAGCUAGUUGGUGAGGUAAGAGCUCACCAAGGCUAAGACGGGUAGCCGGACUGAGAGGUUGAACGGCCACAUUGGAACUGAGAUACGGUCCAGACUCCUACGGGAGGCAGCAGUGGGGAAUAUUGGGCAAUGGGCGAAAGCCUGACCCAGCGACGCCGCGUGAGGGAAGACGGCCUUCGGGUUGUAAACCUCUGUUGCAGGGGAAGAAUAAGAUGACGGUACCCUGUUAGAAAGCCCCGGCAAACUACGUGCCAGCAGCCGCGGUAACACGUAGGGGGCGAGCGUUGUCCGGAAUUACUGGGCGUAAAGAGUACGUAGGCUGUUGUAUAAGUCAGAUGUAAAAGGCAUGGGCUUAACCUGUGUGUGCAUCUGAAACUGUACAACUGGAGAUGUAGAGAGGCAAGCGGAAUUCCCUGUGUAGCGGUGAAAUGCGUAGAUAUAGGGAAGAACACCAGUGGCGAAGGCGGCUUGCUAGCUACAUACUGACGCUGAGGUACGAAAGCCAGGGGAGCGAACCGGAUUAGAUACCCGGGUAGUCCUGGCCGUAAACGAUGAAUGCUAGGUGUGGGGGAUUCGAUUCUUCUGUGCCGCAGUUAACGCAUUAAGCAUUCCGCCUGGGGAGUACGGUCGCAAGAUUGAAACUCAAAGGAAUUGACGGGGGCCCGCACAAGCGGUGGAGCACGUGGUUUAAUUCGAUGCAAACCGAAGAACCUUACCUGGGCUUGACAUACAGGUAGUACUGAUUUGAAAGAUGAUGGAUCAUACCUUCGGGUAUGAAGCCUGAACAGGUGCUGCAUGGCUGUCGUCAGCUCGUGUCGUGAGAUGUUGGGUUAAGUCCCGCAACGAGCGCAACCCCUAUUAUCAGUUGCUAACAGGUUAUGCUGAGCACUCUGGUGAGACUGCCGGCGACAAGCCGGAGGAAGGUGGGGACGACGUCAAGUCAUCAUGGCCCUUAUGCCCAGGGCAACACACAUGCUACAAUGGCCGGUACAAAGGGAAGCGAUCCUGCGAGGGUGAGCGGAUCCCAUAAAGCCGGUCCCAGUUCGGAUUGCAGUCUGAAACUCGAGUGCAUGAAGAUGGAAUCGCUAGUAAUCGCGAAUCAGAUAAGUCGCGGUGAAUACGUUCCCGGGCCUUGUACACACCGCCCGUCACACCAUCCGAGUUGGGUGCACCCGAAGCCGGUGGCUGAACCCUUUUGGGGACAGAGCUGUCUAAGGUGUGUUCGGUAAGGAGGGUGAAGUCGUAACAAGGUA
rnacentral:rRNA from 1 species